rnacentral:lncRNA from 1 species
UGUGUUUAGCAGUCUAGGGUUUUGGUAAUAAUGUGCAGUAUUGGUGAGGUAUAUUUAUCCUGAAGAUGCAGCUAAUGAUUGAAAAUGGGUGGAGAGAUUCCGAUAACAAGAAACGUGGCAGAAGUGAAGAAUUGAAGCGAGGGAUGAUAAAAAUCACGUUGAAUAAGUGCGAUUAUGAAAAAUCAUUGUCAAGCAUAUUGUGGAAUCAAAAAGAUUACAGAUGAUUAUGUUUUUAAGAAUAAAGUUGAUGCAUCAGAAACCACAUAAAAGACUAUUAUUUUAUUAUACAACAUAAGUACAUUUUCUAUUAUGAUGGAACACAACCACCCACCCACAAUAAUAUGCUUCAAAUUAGGCACCUCAAUAAAUUAUUUUUUUUAUAUCACAAUCGAGAAAAACGUGCUUUUUUCCGUACACCUUCAUGCUCCCAUGCCUGCAAACUCAACGUCAAUUUCAUUAAUUUAACACUAAACACAAACAAAACACUCUCAUUUCAUUUCUUAAAUCGAGAGAUUAGUCAAAGUAUGUUCUGUCACUAAUAAAAUUUGACCAUGUGUCUUAUGCACGUGAAUUAAAAAUAUAGUUUAGAUUAAAUAUUUAGACUCAUUAAAUUAAAAUAGUUUAUCA